UACGAAGGGGGCUAGCGUUGUUCGGAUUUACUGGGCGUAAAGCGCACGUAGGCGGAUCGUUAAGUCGGGGGUGAAAUCCUGGAGCUCAACUCCAGAACUGCCUUCGAUACUGGCGAUCUUGAGUCCGGAAGAGGUGAGUGGAACUCCUAGUGUAGAGGUGGAAUUCGUAGAUAUUCGCAGGAACACCAGUGGCGAAGGCGGCUUACUGGUCCAUUACUGACGCUGAGGUGCGAAAGCGUGGGGAGCAAACAGG
rnacentral:rRNA from 1 species